rnacentral:rRNA from 1 species
UGGGGAAUAUUGCGCAAUGGGGGGAACCCUGACGCAGCCAUGCCGCGUGAAUGAAGAAGGCCUUAGGGUUGUAAAGUUCUUUCGGUAUUGAGGAAGGUUGAUGUGUUAAUAGCACAUCAAAUUGACGUUAAAUACAGAAGAAGCACCGGCUAACUCCGUGCCAGCAGCCGCGGUAAUACGGAGGGUGCGAGCGUUAAUCGGAAUAACUGGGCGUAAAGGGCACGCAGGCGGUUAUUUAAGUGAGGUGUGAAAGCCCCGGGCUUAACCUGGGAAUUGCAUUUCAGACUGGGUAACUAGAGUACUUUAGGGAGGGGUAGAAUUCCACGUGUAGCGGUGAAAUGCGUAGAGAUGUGGAGGAAUACCGAAGGCGAAGGCAGCCCCUUGGGAAUGUACUGGCGCUCAUGUGCGAAAGCGUGGGGAGCAAACAGGAUUAGAUACCCUGGUAGUCCACGCUGUAAACGCUGUCGAUUUGGGGGUUGGGGUUUAACUCUGGCGCCCGUAGCUAACGUGAUAAAUCGACCGCCUGGGGAGUACGGCCGCAAGGUUA